rnacentral:pre_miRNA from 1 species
AGUGGAAUUACUGGGUCAUAUGGUAACUCUUUAACUUUUUGAGGAACUACCAAACUGUUUUCCACAGUGGCUGCACCAUUUUAUGGUCCCACUAGCAAU